rnacentral:rRNA from 1 species
GAUGAACGCUAGCUACAGGCUUAACACAUGCAAGUCGAGGGGAAACGACAUCGAAAGCUUGCUUUUGAUGGGCGUCGACCGGCGCACGGGUGAGUAACGCGUCUCCACCCUGCCCAUCACUUGGGAAUAACCUUGCGAAAGUAAGACUAAUACCCAAUGAUAUCCCACGAAGGCAUCGGAAUGGGAUUAAAGAUUUAUCGGUGAUGGAUGGGGAUGCGUCUGAUUAGCUUGUUGGCGGGGUAACGGCCCACAAAGGCAACGAUCAGUAGGGGUUCUGAGAGGAAGGGCCCCCACAUGGGAACUGAGACACGGUCCAAACUCCUACGGGAGGAAGCAGUGAGGAAUAUUGGGCAAUGGGCGAGAGCCUGAACCAGCCAAGUAGCGUGCAGGAAGACGGCCCGAUGGGUUGUAAACUGCUUUUAUAAGGGAAUAAAGUGGGUCACGUGUGACUUUUUGCAUGUACCUUAUGAAUAAGGACCGGCUAAUUCCGUG